ensembl:lncRNA
GGCCCAUCAAAAAAAAACCAACAUUUUUUUUCAGUUAUGUUGUCUAAGUAUCAAAAUAAAGCAUUCAAGGAUGCCUUGUACAUUCAGUAUUUUAUGCUUCAUGGUCUAGAAUCAUUACUUUGACUUAAUACAGUGUAACAGGUAGUGAAGAGGAAGGCUACUUCAUUUUGAAAGUCCCCAAGCUCUCCUGCCAUGACAUAGUUAAGUAUUCACUACAUGGCUGUUUAUAUCAUUGAAAUCUUUGGUGUAUUUUAUUUUGUAUCACAGUUUUGGAGUAGAUUGAAACUACUCAUAUUAGUCUUGGUAACUAUUGAGAAAAAUGUCAAAACAAAAUGUGCUGGAAUUCAAGAGGGAUUAUAAAUGCACAGAGGGAUAAGAUAGGAACUAGUUAAAGCUUUAACUGUUAUAUGUCAAAAGUUAUUUUCUAAUGGGUUUGAAAUACACUACAUUUUUUCUUUCUCUUUUUUCUUAGUCCAGUAUUGACACAAGGAAAGUGUCAGAGUGUAGGAACUCCUCAGGCUGUUCAGUGGUUCCCUACAUAAAGGGAGAGAAUGCAUUUACUAGUAAAAAGCCUGAACCCAAAAUCUCAGAUGAUAUCAGGCUGAAUUCUGGAGAGCAGCCCACAGGUGACCUCCUUGAAUCCCAAGUGGAGAGUAGCACAGUCUAGUGAUGCUGAACAAAGUGUACUUUCUCUCCUUUCCAAAUACAAGCUUGCAGGACAACAUUCUUCACAACUGUGCUGCAGCAUCCAGCUCUAAGUGCAGGAGAAGUUCCCUUGAAACAAGAAGUCCUAUAAGUAUAUUUAAAAAAAUAUAACACUUAAUAAUAUCUAAGUGUUAAGCACAAUUAGGACUGAAUAUUUUUUUAAUACAAUGAAAUUAAAUGAUUUUCUGUAAAACAGAUUUCUGCUUUUAUAUGAGAAUGUGACAAGUGAAUUAAAAAAUUUGCCUGAAUUUUGCUCAUAUCCUCUUACAAAUCAUAUUGCAUGUUUUUAAUGUGAUUGACUGAACAAAUGAAGUAAUUUCAAAGUAUCAUGUUAAAGUCAAAAUUUAUUUGUUCAUGAUAUUUUUACUUUUUUAAGAUUAAUUCAACUGUUUUUAAUUAAAGCACUGUGCUUUCAGAAGGAGUAGGAUGAAUUCCAAAUUCUAUUGGAAUAUUCUAUUUCUAUAAAAAUACUCCACAUUUUUAGAAAUAAUUUUGAGAUUUACAAAAAUCUAAUUAGAAUACCUACAGUGAAAACAAAUACACUCUUUUCUUAAAAUCCAUCACACUGCUCUUCCCUUUUUGUGAAAAUUUUAAGUUAAAAUUUGUAUUUCCACACUGAAGAUUUAAACUUUAUUACCAGUCCAAGUGAAAAAAUUAUCACUUUAAAAUAUAUUUCACUUACUGUACAGAAGUGUCACAAUGGUGCUUAAAAACCUAAAGCACUAGUAAAGCAAAAACCAGCAAAUCCCAUACUAAUUUUCAAUUUAGCAAAAAACUUCUUUAUAAUUUUGCUGUUUCUAAUAGAAAAUAUGCUUCUGGGUUAGGUUCAUUUUGAUGUUGAAUAAAAAUCAAUUUUUUUAAAAUAAAAUAAAAUAA